rnacentral:rRNA from 1 species
AGAGUUUGAUCAUGGCUCAGAUUGAACGCUGGCGGCAGGCUUAACACAUGCAAGUCGAACGGUUGUAGCAAUACAGCAGUGGCAGACGGGUGAGUAACACGUGGGAACCUUCCUAGGGGUACGGAACAACUCAGGGAAACUUGAGCUAAUACCGUAUACGUCCGUGAGGAGAAAGAUUUAUCGCCCUUAGACGGGCCCGCGUCGGAUUAGCUAGUUGGUGGGGUAACGGCCUACCAAGGCGACGAUCCGUAGCUGAUCUUAGAGGAUGAUCAGCCACACUGGGACUGAGACACGGCCCAGACUCCUACGGGAGGCAGCAGUGGGGAAUCUUGGACAAUGGGCGCAAGCCUGAUCCAGCCAUGCCGCGUGAGUGAAGAAGGUCUUCGGAUUGUAAAGCUCUUUUGCCAGGGACGAUAAUGACGGUACCUGGAGAAUAAGCCCCGGCAAACUUCGUGCCAGCAGCCGCGGUAAUACGGAGGGGGCUAGCGUUGUUCGGAAUUACUGGGCGUAAAGCGCACGUAGGCGGAACAGAAAGUCAGAGGUGAAAUCCCAGGGCUCAACCUUGGAACUGCCUUUGAAACUCCUGUUCUUGAGGUCGAGAGAGGUGAGUGGAAUUCCGAGUGUAGAGGUGAAAUUCGUAGAUAUUCGGAGGAACACCAGUGGCGAAGGCGGCUCACUGGCUCGAUACUGACGCUGAGGU